rnacentral:rRNA from 1 species
AACGAACGCUGGCGGUAUGCCUAACACAUGCAAGUCGCACGAGAAAGUACUUCGGUAUGAGUAGAGUGGCGCACGGGUGAGUAACACGUAGGUGACCUUCCGAAUAGUGGGGGAUAACUCGGAGAAAUCCGGGCUAAUACCGCAUAUGUACGACAAAUCUGAGAGUAGUCGUAGAAAGAGUGCCUCUACUUGUAAGCAUUCGCUAAUCGAUGGGCCUGCGGAGCAUUAGCUAGUUGGUGGGGUAAUGGCCUACCAAGGCUACGAUGCUUAACGGAUCUGAGAGGAUGAUCCGUCACACUGGAACUGAGACACGGUCCAGACUCCUACGGGAGGCAGCAGUGGGGAAUAUUGCGCAAUGGACGCAAGUCUGACGCAGCGAAUACCGCGUGAGUGAGGAAGGCCU